AGCUUUAGAAGUUCUUAUUGUUCUUAGCAUAAUCAGCAAUGUUUGAACACGAUGUUCAAACAAGCCUCCACUGAGCCAUGGAUGGCGAAUUGGAGGCGGUUGCGUCAUAUAGCGAAAUACUUGAUAAGAACAAUUAGAACUUCUUAAGUU
rnacentral:ncRNA from 1 species